rnacentral:rRNA from 1 species
AUUGAACGCUGGCGGAAUGCUUUACACAUGCAAGUCGAGCGGCAGCGCGGGGCAACCUGGCGGCGAGCGGCGAACGGGUGAGUAAUGCAUCGGAACAUGUCCAUUUGUGGGGGAUAGCCCGGCGAAAGCCGGAUUAAUACCGCAUACGCCCUGAGGGGGAAAGCGGGGGACUUCGCAAGAGGCCUCGCGCGAAUGGGUUGGCCGAUGUCCGAUUAGCUAGUUGGNGAGGUAAAGGCUCACCAAGGCGAUGAUCGGUAGCUGGUCUGAGAGGAUGAUCAGCCACACUGGGACUGAGACACGGCCCAGACUCCUACGGGAGGCAGCAGUGGGGAAUUUUGGACAAUGGGGGCAACCCUGAUCCAGCCAUUCCGCGUGAGUGAAGAAGGCCUU